AUUUACCUACGUAGUUUCAAUUUCUGGUGUUUUUCAUUCCUUUCUGUGGAUCUGGAAUCCCAUUUGGUAUCAUUUUCAUCUGUCUUAAUGUCUUUGGCAGUUUUUUUGUGACUAGGAGGGGUGUGGCAAAACAUUCAUCAGGAACUACCAUCUGUCCCUAGAUCUUGAUUCACACCGAAGAAAAGCCAUCUCUACAACUAUUGGCUGUGGUCAAAAAUGCCAACGUCUUUGGCAUUUCAGAUUUAUCUUCUUAAAGAGACAAGAAUACUAAGUUCCACAUGGACUCGCCAUCCUCAAAUCGCUGGCUGCGUACUUUCUCCAUGCAGUAAGCUGGGCCAACAUAUGACUCACUUUGUUCAAUUAUUUUCUCUCUCAGAUCACUAACCUUAAUUGUCUGAUAACCUAUGUCUUAACAACUAUGGUUUCACAUGUGGUAAUGGUUUUAUUGUUAUUUUGGGGUAAAGGAUAAAUCUAGUCCUAUUAUUGUAUCUUAGCUAAAAACAUUUUAAAAGUUUUUAAUUUAAGUUUUAAUUAAUUUAAGUUCAUCUGUCUCUUAUCUUUUAUUAUUUAUAAAUAUUGUGUCCUAUCAAAAAAUAUUUGCUUCCUACAAAUAUUUCUGCUCAAUUUUUUAAUAUAUUUUUUGUAGUUGUAACCCUUACACUUAGAUCCAUUAUUUAUACUGAUUUAGUUUUGUGUAUAGAAUUUGGUAACAUGUAGGUUCAUUUUUAUGCAUUUAGAUAUUUAAUAGUUUCAUCAAAAUGUCUUGAAAGUUCAUCCUUUAUGCAUUGAAUUACCUUGGUAGUUUUAUGAAAAAUUAAUUUACCCUAUGUGUGUUUUUCUAUUUUGGCCUUCCUAUUAUUUUAUACUAGUCUAUAUUUCUACCAUUAUAUCAAUACCACACUGCUUUUGUUGAUAUAGCUUUGCAAUAAGUCUUGAAAUCAGGUAAUUUUAAUUAUCCAACAUCGUUUUUCUAUAAAGUUUAAGAGAGGCUUGCUGAUUUCCAUUUUGGUUUAGAUGACUUUAAAAUUGUAAAUAAAUUUAGAGAGAUUUGAAAUCUUUACAAUAUUGGGUCUUCUGAUCCAUAAUGAUACUACUGUUCUUAAUUCACUUAGGUCUUCCAUAAUUUCCCUUAGCAAUAUUUCAUACUUUUCAUUGUGCAAAACUUGCACACUUCCUGUUAAAUAUAUCCCUAAAAAUUUCUUAAAUUUGAUACUGCUGUGUGGAAGUUGGUUUUCAUUCAUUUAAAUAUUCAUUUGUUUAUUGCUUGCAUUCAUCAACAUGAUAAAAGUAUUUAAUAGUUCUCAAAGCUUUUUUGUAGAUUUUUUAAAAAUUUUGUACAUAGAACAGCAUAUCAUCUGUGAUAAAAAAAAUUAUUAAAGCCCUUAUUUAUUCAACUUUUGGUACUCUCCUACUUCUUCUUCUGAGACCAGUAGACAGUAUUACACAAUUUGAUACUGUCACACUAACCAACAAGGCUCUGUUUGUUUUUAACUCUUAUUUUUCUCUAUGUUUCAUUUGGAUAUUUUAUAUUGUUUUGUUUUCAAUAUCACUAGUCUCUUCUGCAAUGUCUAAUAUGCUGUUAAUCCAAUGCAGUGUAUUUUUCAUUUUAGAUAUUGUUUUAAAUGGAUGGAACUUUAUUUGAGCCAUUCUACAUAUAUCCUAUGCCUCUCAUCAUUAUAUUCAUCUUUUUCUCUACUGUCUUAAAUGUGGUACCUAUUUAUAAAUUUUUUUUAACAUCUGUGGUUGAUAACCCUAUUAUGUUGAUAAUUCUUGGUUCUGUUUCUAGUAGUUUAUUUUUUUCCUGAAUAAGAGUCAUGUUUUUCUGCUUCUUUGCAUGCCUGUUGAAUUCUUGAUUGGGUAAUGAACAUUGUGGUUUUACAUUAUUGGGUCCAGAGUUUUAUUGUAUUCUUUUAGUGUUGGACAUUGCUUUGGUAUCCAUGUAAAUACUUUGUCACCAGUUUAAUUGUUUCCAAGCAUGCUUUUAAGCAUUUCUCUCAGAUGUAACAGUUUUUUGCUGCCUAUUGUUUACUGUCUGAAAACUGUACUUUCAUAUUUUUUGCAUACUUUUGUUUUUAUUUUUUAAUUUUAAGAUUGGAGGGAAAAUCUAUUCUCUCUUACUCUAGGAGAGGUGCAAUUUAUUGUUGUUUUAAAGCAUUUUUUUCACUUAAUAUGGGAUAAAUAUUGCUUCACGUAAAUGUGCAUUUAUGGCAUUACAUUCAAUUAAUGAUUACAUCAGAAUGUCUGGGUAUUUUAACAAUUAUCAAUUCAGAAUUUAUUUAUCUCUAGGUUAUUUAUAAUUUUCCAGAAUUAAAAAAGUUUCAAACAGCAUCAUUUAUUGAGAACGAGUUAGAAGUUGUUAUGACUUUGUAGAUAUUUAAUUAUUUCCUAUUUAUUUAAAAUUCUAAUAGCACAAUUUGAUGGAAACAGUCACUGUCAUCUUAUUUCUAUUUUCAGGGUAUUCAGAUAGCACAUUGGUAAAACUGGGUAACUAAUACAUUGGCUAAAGGGUGAUAACCAAAUGAGUUAAGUAAUGUACAAAGUCUUAAAAUGUACCUAAAGCCACUAACAUCAAUUAAGAGCAUGGAAAUAAGAGGAAAUACUUAAAAAUAUAUUUUUUAAAAUUUUAAUUCAGCUUUUACUUGACUAAGUAUAUGACACACAGAUAUUAGAGAAAAAUUUAAUACCAUUUACUGACACCAUUAUUUAAGUAUUCUUUAUUCCUUUCUGUCUGUAAUCUGUGAUGUCAGAAGCCAGGAGAGAGCCAAGAAAAUAUCUUGUAAAUGUAGAUUAUUCUAAGUAUCAAGUCACCACAGAGGUGAAAAGAGAGCCAAGUUUAAUACUUCCUUCCUCUUUUUAUAGCACCUCUCAAUUACUUCCAUGUGCAACUGAUACUUUAAAAACUUUUACCUUCAAGUAUUCACUUCUAUUUUAGCUUUUGAGAUUUGAAGUUGCUGCAUGUCAAUUUUUAGGCACCAAGAGGCUAAUAGUAGAGGAAUAAGAACAUGAUGUAAAUGAAGGUCAUAUUUCCUAGAUGUGUUAUCAUGUCAUCUCCAAAUUUAAGCAAUUUUUAUAGUUUCUUACAGUGAAUCUGUGGUAACGCUGAAAAAUAGAAUUUUAUAAUCUGGGCUCCAAUGUCUCUAUGGCUUGAAACAGAUACUGCAAAUCUUGCCUAAGGUUUUAAAAGGAAAAACAUAACCCAGAAAUGAGAUUAUAGUCUGCAGUUAUGGCAGCAUUUGAGUAGCUUUUCUUAUUUAAAAUACAGAGAAUACAAUAUUGACUGGCAUAUCACAGCUAAAAUUUUUUCUGUCAAAAGACACCCAAACAAUAAAGCAAGUUACCAGGAAACUUGUUUAAACGAAAGCCUUCAGAAAGAUAAUUGAGUAGGUGUAAAGUUGUUAAGAAGAAAAUUAAGGCAAGAAUGGAAUACUAAGGUAUCAGGGAGGUAGCAAUUGCAGAAAACAACCACCAUCUCUAGGGGUAAGGAGAACAAGUGAAUAAGUUGAAAUUAUUAAAAUUGAGAAACUUAGAGGAGGGAUCUCCAGUAUUGAAACUCAUAUCUCUGAGCGCGGAGUAUGGUUCAUCUGAUACCGUGAGCUUGGAGGAGGGAUCCGCUGGGGCUGCGACCAGACUUCUGGCAGGGAGCACUGGUUGGCUAGUGAUGGUUCUCUGAGGGCAGAAUAAUCAGGCUUAAUUGGCACGUGGUGGAAAAACUGCAAACUGGACUCAGCUGCUUCAGUGGCUAAGAACUGAUGCUGCAGGUGAAAGAAGUUGCUGAGGUGAAAUAGACAGGAACAGGAAGCGGACCGGGAGGAAUAAGUCCCUUUUUCCUCUUUCAGCUUUCCUCUCUACCUCUUGUACCUCUCAUUGGCUGAGCCUACCAUGGAGUCAGAUGGCAAUGAUGAAUGUGGGGUGCAGAGUGCCAGCACCAGCAUCACAGUUUCACAAGGAAUUGGAGACCAAGGUCCCACACUGAAAACAAGAAGUUGCUACCACUUCAAGACUGCUACUGUACCAGGGAGGUGGUGUGAUAAAGGCAAGUAAAAAAACUGAGAAUUUUUUGUCAAUUUCAACUUGCCUUUUCUUAACAUUCACUUGAUUGACACAAACAUUUGACUGUUUUUUAGAAUUUUGUCAAAGUUGUUUCUAACGAUUCAUGCUUAUUUGUUGCUUCUUCUGGGGAUGAAGGAGAGAUUGGUAUUGCCUACUCUACCAUUUUGCUGAUGUUAC